UUAUUUGAUGAAUAGAAGUAAAUAGACAAAUUCGUUUUUAUUAUUUACUGAUUAGUUUGGAAUUCGAAGUGGAGUAAAUAUUUCUAACGAAAAGCUGUUAAUAUAUUCAUUUUCAGGAGAAGAAGAAGUUCUAUUAUGCAUCAAGACUAGAAAUUGCUGAAAAUCUUGAAGAUAUUAAGAUGGUGUUUAACCUACUUCUGAUCAAUGAUGAGAGACUACUUAUGAAUGUAGGCCUCAAUGCAAGUGAUCUGAGUCUGAGAUACAGAAAUCUGGAGAGGCAUGCUAUGGAUCACCAUAUUAUAUACUACGCUUCACUUUGAGUUCAUCCACACCUCUGAGCACCUGAUGAACGAAAUGUACAAAAACGAUGAGGCAAUUUUGGGAUUUGAGCGAUGGAAUACAUAUUGUGACAUGGUUGAUGUCUAGCAAUAAGCUACUGGACGGUAUGGUUAAUUGUAUGGCUUCAUUGAUUUCGAUUGGAACUGAAGAAAAAUAAGAUGGGGAAAUAGAAAUCUUUCCACUUGAAAUCGGAAGAGAAAGAAAUCAAAAUCCAUUUGAUGCUACCAGAAAAUUCCCAAAAGGGUAUUACUUCUGGAACGCCAUCUUCAACAUCGAAGAGCACAACUGGAAACAUGAAGGUAGGAACUCUCAAACAAUUGUUUCUUGGUUUAUUUGAUAUAAUUGUAAAUCAUCCUCGUUU